UGGGGAAUUUUGCACAAUGGGGGAAACCCUGAUGCAGCGACGCCGCGUGAUUUAGAAGGCCUUCGGGUUGUAAAAAUCUUUUCUAUGGGAAGAAAAUGACAGUACCAUAGGAAUAAGGACCGGCUAAUUACGUGCCAGUAGCCGCGGUAAUACGUAAGGUCCGAGCGUUGUCCGGAAUCAUUGGGCGUAAAGGGUACGUAGGCGGGUAAGCAAGUUAGAAGUGAAAUCCUAUAGCUCAACUAUAGUAAGCUUUUAAAACUGCUCAUCUUGAGGUAUGGAAGGGAAAGUGGAAUUCCUAGUGUAGCGGUGAAAUGCGCAGAUAUUAGGAGGAAUACCGGUGGCGAAGGCGACUUUCUGGCCAUAACCUGACGCUGAGGUACGAAAGCGUGGGGAGCAUACAGG
rnacentral:rRNA from 1 species